GCGUCGGUGGCUGAGCGGUCAAAAGCAGUGGUCUGUAGAACCAUCGCCUUCGGGCUACGCAGGUUCGAAUCCUGCCCGGCGCA
rnacentral:tRNA from 1 species